rnacentral:rRNA from 1 species
CCUACGGGAGGCAGCAGUGAGGAAUAUUGGUCAAUGGCCGGAAGGCUGAACCAGCCAUGCCGCGUGAAGGUCAGUGCCCUAUGGGCGUUAAACUUCUUUUGUGCGGGAGCAAUAAUUGUCACGUGUGGCCAGACGAGAGUACCGUACGAAUAAGCAUCGGCUAACUCCGUGCCAGCAGCCGCGGUAAUACGGGGGAUGCAAGCGUUAUCCGGAUUUAUUGGGUUUAAAGGGUGCGUAGGCUGUGAGGUAAGUCAGCGGUGAAAUGCCCCGGCUCAACGGGGUGAAGUGCCAUUGAUACUGCCUGGCUGGAAUGCGGAUGCGGUGGGAGGAAUGUGUGGUGUAGCGGUGAAAUGCAUAGAUAUCACACAGAACACCGAUUGCGAAGGCAUCUCACGAAUCCGCGAUUGACGCUGAUGCACGAAAGCGUGGGUAUCAAACAGGAUUAGAUACCCGGGUAGUC